CGAUGAUCAGUGCAAUUUCGGAUUCUUCAGUUUUAUCGAGGUCAGUCAGUUCCUUAUCGACAUCACCAAGUCUUGCUUUGUCGCUGAGGAUCAUUCGAGGUUUCGACCCUUGCUGAGAAUAGCUGCUGGAUCGAUUGCUGAUCUGAUCCAGUGGUUGAAUUAGUCAGAGAUCGAGGAGGUGAGGGUGUUGGAUCGGGGAAGGGGUCGAAGCAUGUAAGUGAAGGCACUACCGGACACUUUGCAAACCUAUGAUGCGCGGAUAUUUAGUUUUCACAUGUGUUUGAAUACGAGGUGUAGUUCUGGGAGUGGAUUUCGUCAAAAGGUUUGAAAAGCUCGACUUUUACCCAUGAGGGUCUGAUGUGAUACCUCAUGUCAUACAGCAUAUCAGUUUUUACUCGGUACAGAACGAUGUUUGCUCGUUACUAUGCUUAAUCAACUACAUUCUCCAGUACAUUACUUCACAUGC